AAAAAUAAGGUUUUUAUGUCAUAAUUUGUUUAAUGUCCAAUCCGAUCAACCCAUGAUGUAUUAAUUAUAGUUUUGUUCUAUUAUUUUUAAUAAAAAUUGAUCCGAUCCAUCGGAAAAAAAUUAUAUAAUAACAACACAAAAUAUUUUAUAUAUAUAAAUAAAAUGAUCAAAUAUAUAAAAGAAACUAUCGAUAAUAUAUACAAAUAAAUUCAUCCUGCGCAAGGCGCAUCUCUUAUCCUAGUAAUAAUAAUAAUAAUAAUAAUAAAGUUGCUCAGAAAGCUCCUCGUGCAUCCACAUCAUCUCUCCAUGCUCCAAAACUCGCCACGUGUCUCUGUUCCAUGGCUCUUUCUUUAUGUUUGAUUUUUUUGUCCUCUUUGUUUCGUUUGAUUUUAUUUGGGCCCAUGAUUAUACGAAAAUCUCACCCCGAUAUGUCUUUUAGGGUUAUCUCAUGCUCAAGUUACUGUUCGGCGCUGUAAACAUUCAGAUUUCCAAGGUUCCCAUUAAAAAGAAUUGUAACGUUUUCCCUUCUAUGUAACUCCACCAUUAAUCCAAUCAUUAAAACUACACUCCACCUCCCCUCACACUCCGUCUCAUUUAUUCAGUCUCAUCAUCGGUGUAGGUACCGGCUUGAAGCUCCACCUAUAAAUGAGUCCGUUUGAUGCGAUGAACAUCUCCGUCAGAUUUCUGAAAGAUUAAACUCUGUAACGCAACAGCUCCAACCUCAUCCUUGACAAGAAGUCUCCGCUUAUCCAAGGGACCAUCAAUGCCAACCGAAACUCAGCGAUCAUUAACAUGUUGUAGUCAGGAGACUCAAGGCAUGUAGAAACAGAGAAGAUAUAGAUUUUGUUGUUGAAGUCGAGAUUCGAAAGAAAGUUUUGUGAAAAUUGUUGAUCAGAGACUGAGAGUAGAGAACGUGGAAGAGAAGCUGAGAAGUUUUUCUUGCUGGGACUAAAAUAUGCUCAGAUGGAGCCGGAGAAGAGACCAACAAUGUCUGAAGUGGUGGAGAUGCUAAUGAAUAAAUUAAUGGAGAAAAUGUCGUCUGAAAUUGAAGCCAAUUCUCUCUUCAAGAAUCCAUAUAGCAGCAAUUAAAACUGUAGAGAGCAUCAGGAGGUUGCAGAUGAAAGCUCAUACGUGAUCUCGGAAGAAAAGGAUCAUUAUUAAAAGGGUUUUUAGGCACAUGACAUUUGUUUUCUCAGAUUAGUUUUUAACAUCUUCUCUUAAUUAUAUUAACACAUGACAAAGCUA